UCCGUCCAUCGAUCCAUUCACCCAGUCUUUCUCCCUCUUGCGCGAACCCUAGAGUUCCUACGCACCCACAGCCGCGACCUCCAACCAUCUCCCUCCCUCAGAUCUCGAUCCGCCGCCGCCCCAAUCGUCGAUGACCCUCACCGUAGACAAGAGCGAGCCCAUGCCCAGAUUCACGAGUGGAGCCCGGCGAAGCUGCCCGCAAACUGCUCCUCUUCCCCACCCCCGAUUCCUCUCCAAUCUUCGCCGCCGCCGCCGAUCCCCACCCCCACCGCCGACCUCGUCUCCCCGUCCUCGGCCCCAUCCCCACCUCCGGCCGACCUCCCUCCUCAUCUCGUCCAUCCACCCAUGGAAACCUCCUUUUCCACGGAUCCACACACCCACCCACGCCCACCCAUGGAUGGAUGGAUGGAUGGGGCGCACCAGUUCCGGCGACGGCGACGCCGGAUCCACACCCACCUACACAAUGGAGGCCGGCCGCAUCGGGAUCCAUCGCCUGCUCUCGGUCUGGUGCGGCACAGCAGACCACACUGGAGAUUGCUACUGCGGUGGCCAUCGACGACGGCGCAUCUCUGGCGGGACCUAGAUGCCCAAGGCAUGCAUCCGUGGUUGGUGACCUUGCAUGCGGCCCUUGCCGGAGGCUGGUUGGCUGGAUGGACGGGCAUCCGGGAUGCUGGUGUUUGCAGCCUUAUAUCUCAGGGAAGACGCCUGCUAAAAUGUGUGCAUGCCAAGAUUCCUACAGUUCCAGACUGAUUAGUGAGAUUACAGUUAUAAGGGUGGAUCGAUUAGCAUACUCUGCCUACUGAAUGCCAGUCUGAGAGGUAGCAUCUGCUAUCGUCAGGUUAUAUAAGCUCGUGUGGAUGGGAGGUGGAUGCCAGCACGGAUCCGGCGUCUCCGACCUCGGCAUCCACAAGGAGGAGCGGCGACAAUUACAUACCCAACCAUGGGGCAGCCUCCCUCUACCUCUCUCACAUUCCCUGAUUUUGCUGCUGCUCUAAAUUCAUUUUCACUUGAUUGAAUCUAGUGCUACUGCUCUAAAUUCACUUGCAUGUUUGACUAAAUCAUAAAAGAAUGAAUAGGUGUUGGCUUUAGAGUGCUAGUUUGUAUACUCUAGCAGGCGAAGCACGUCCGUGCAAGCUAACUUCAACAAAGCAGACUAGUAGCUUAAUUGAUUCUUUGUUAGCUAGUAGUACUUGGACGUGCAGUCUCACGUAUACGUACGAGCUUAGUAGAGCUAGCGACUGAUCGAUCUGACUUCUUGCGGCAGACCGUAGCGACUUCGUAACUCAGGGAACUGAAAAACGAUGGAGAUUUUGUGGAUAGCCACAGGGGCGUGUCACUCCUAGCUUUCUUUGUAUUGCUUUGAUCGACUUAGAAAGAUUACAAUGGCUGGGUGCACUUAUGAUGCACUUAGUGUGCCACCACCAGAUGACUGACUGAAUGUGUAUUUGUACUAGCGCGUGCCGACGAAGCAGGAACACACCCAAUGCCCUGGCAGGAACACCGAGUUGUGGAAAGUAGCGGCUCGCAAUCGUGGUCAGGGACCGACCGUCCGAGAGUAGACCGUGGAGACGUGGAGUUAAGUCCAGGCAGUUCCUUGUAAUAUUUUGGAUCUCAUUUUAGUUAUGAUGAAUUGAUAUAUAAUGAUGUUUGAUCUGCUUCUGCUUGAUUCCUUACUUGUUGUAGGACAUUGCAGUCACGUAGAUUUUGCUGGUUGUGGCAUUGCUUGAAAUUGGAUUAUUGGAUAGCUGGAGCUGCGUAGGAUUUCUUCUAAUUUACUCCAGGAGACCAAGACCAAGCUUCAUGAAUUCAGGGCGCCGCCCAGGUGGUCAUGUGGGAUCCUCUCGAACAGCCCGUGCUCGCUGUCGACUUCGAUGGCAGGGUCACCCGCUCCAUCGGCUCCCUCUCCGGCGGGAUGUACUAGUCAGAUUUCAUCCCCUACGUCAACUCAUACACAGAGAUCUACAUAUUGGCCAAGUGUUCGUCGAUCUGCAAGCCUGUUUAAGAGCUGGAUUGGCCGGUCCAAUUCAACACGGAGCUGUGUGUAUGUUGAAACUUUUCGUCCAUCAAGCGUCGCCUCGCCGCCUCCGACCGCCCCGACGACGCCCUUGCCUUCGCCAACCUCCACUCCUCCAUGAGGUGAUUUGUUUCUUGCAAUUUGGAAGAGGAAGAUGAUGAAGCGUGGUUGUUAUCUAUCAAUAUGCCUUGUGUUCUGGUUGUACUUCAUAGCUAGUUACAUUGUAUUCUGUACUGGUCUGGUUGUAUGAACACUAUGUAAAGAUUGUAAUAGGCUAAUUUUGGCUAUCAUUUCAAGCAUAUAGUUUUGUUUCACUUGAAAUAUUUGUCAUCUGUGUACUGUGAAAAUGUGAGAAAUAAAAAGCUGAUGAGUUGGACCUA